rnacentral:rRNA from 1 species
GACGAACGCUGGCGGCGUGCUUAACACAUGCAAGUCGAACGGAAAGGCCCUGCUUUUGUGGGGUGCUCGAGUGGCGAACGGGUGAGUAACACGUGAGUAACCUGCCCUUGACUUUGGGAUAACUUCAGGAAACUGGGGCUAAUACCGGAUAGGAGCUCCUGCUGCAUGGUGGGGGUUGGAAAGUUUCGGCGGUUGGGGAUGGACUCGGGGCUUAUCAGCUUGUUGGUGAGGUAGUGGCUUACCAAGGCUUUGACGGGUAGCCGGCCUGAGAGGGUGACCGGACACAUUGGGACUGAGGUACGGCCCAGACUCCUACGGGAGGCAGCAGUGGGGAAUAUUGCACAAUGGGCGGAAGCCUGAUGCAGCAACGCCGCGUGCGGGAUGACGGCCUUCGGGUUGUAAACCGCUUUCGCCUGUGACGAAGCGUGAGUGACGGUAAUGGGUAAAGAAGCACCGGCUAACUACGUG